rnacentral:misc_RNA from 1 species
GGUGGGGGCAGUCGGCUGCGCUGGCGCCGAUUCAGUCCGUCGCGAAUACUCGUCUGCGCCGUACUUCCCGCGCCGCCCCGAACGUCGCGAACCAAGUGCUAAACUUUCGCGCCAACAUUUAAAUUCCGAAUUUCGAUAUUUUUGUCUGUGCAUGUGUGAGUGACGUCAUGAACAAGUGAUGCUUGUCGAUCCUAAAGACGAUUGCAAAAUGUUUCUGUGUUUUUGUCUCGUUAUUUGGAGCGCUCUUUCGCCGGCUCAGGCCCAAGCUGACCGCCGCUGCGGGCACCCUGCCGUGCCUCCAAACGCCAGGGUAUCAUUACCUUCAGGAGACAUAGAGCCUGGUACCAUCGCGACAUACGAGUGCGAUGAUGGAUACGAACUCUUCGGGGCGCAUCAACGGGAGUGCACGCUGAGAGGGGACUGGACCGCUGAUGUGCCGUUUUGUGGAACGAACGUGGCGUUCAGAAAGCCAGCCAACCAAUCGACCACGGUUCGCGGAGGCGCCGCAGCGAACGGUAACGACGGAGAGAAGACCACAGAACACGAUGGCAAGAGAUGCACCGAGACGCAGAGGGAGGCCUCCCCUUGGUGGCAAGUUGAUCUGCUCAGACAUUAUGCUGUCAAAGUCGUCAGGGUCACCACUAGAGGAUGUUGUGGUCAUCAACCCCUGCAAGACCUGGAAAUCAGAGUUGGCAACAGCAGCACGGAUUUACAAAGGAACCCGCUUUGUGCCUGGUUUCCCGGAACAAUCGACGAGGGUAUAACAAAAACGUUCACGUGCGCUCGGCCGCUGGUGGGUCAACAUGUGUUCCUUCAGCUAGUAGGAGUUGAAGGCUCUCUGUCGCUGUGCGAAGUCGAAGUGUUCACUACUGAAGAAUUCUCGAACGAUCGCUGUGCCCCGACCAGCGCUCCUGCCGACAUCGAACUGGCUGCCUUCUCAAGAAACUGUUAUGAGUUCAACGUGGCCAAGGGGAUGUCCUUCGAUGACGCCAGGAAGCAAUGCCAGACGCAUGGCGGAGACCUCAUCCAUGGAUUUCAGGGUGCCACAGCGAGUUUCCUGAUCCAAGAGUUGGAGCGAAGGAAACCUCAGCUGAAGACUCAGUUGGUCUGGAUCGGCGCCCAGAAGGAACCGGGACUCACUUCCAGGACGUGGAAAUGGGUUGACGGCGAGUUAGUAUCAAAACCGACAUGGGGCAAAGACCAGCCGAACAAUUACAACGGUGAACAGAACUGCGUGGUCCUGGACGGUGGAAGAGCCUGGCUAUGGAACGAUGUAGGCUGUAAUCUGGACUAUCUGCACUGGAUCUGCCAGUACCUGCCUCCCUCUUGUGGAAGUCCGGACAAGCUGCUGAACACGACAAUCGAAGGGAACAACUACCAAGUGGGAGCUUCCAUUGCAUACCGGUGCCCUGAAGGUCACAUGCUUCUUGGAGACAAGACUCGAGAGUGCAAGAAGGAUGGCUUCUGGUCUGGAACUGCUCCGAGCUGUAAAUAUGUGAACUGCGGUGGGUUGACGCCAAUUCAAGAUGGUGAGGUGACAUUGGUUGAUGGGAAGACCACUCACGGAGCUAAGGCGGUAUACUCUUGCCGAGAGAAUUAUACUCUGGUUGGGGAAGAAGAGCGGACUUGUGGUGACGAAGGCAUUUGGAGUGGGGAAGCUCCCAAGUGCCUCUUCGACUGGUGCCCAGACCCGCCGCCAGUUACUGGUGCCGUUGUCAGCGUUGAAAGUCAGAAGGCUGGAUCCCUCGCUACUUACAGCUGCCAGAAUGGCUUCAUACUAUUUGGGUCACCGAGCGUGACCUGUACUCUCGGCGGCUCUUGGGCGGGAACUCCGCCUUCCUGCAAGUACGUAGACUGCGGCACUCCCGCGCAGGUCCACAAGGGCUCCUUCUCUCUGCUGAACGGCACCACGACUUACGGCUCCAUCGCUCAGUUCAACUGCGAACCUGAUUACUGGCUGGAUGGCGCUGAAGUCCUUGAAUGCAACAGAGAUGGAAAAUGGUCACAUGAUAUACCUUCUUGUGAACUGAUAUACUGCCCGAACCCCAAAGUUCCUGCCGGCGGCUACAUGGAGGCUUACGACUACAAUGUCCACUCGACCAUAGACUUCCAUUGCGACAAGGGGCAUAAACUUGUUGGAGAGCAGAGCCUUACGUGCCAGCAAGACGGCGAGUGGUCCGGGGACUGGCCUAAAUGUGAAUAUGUGGACUGCGGCAAGCUACCAUCCCUGCCAUACGGCUCAGCCGACCUGCUCAACGGUACCACUCAUUUGGGCAGCGUCAUUCAAUACUCAUGCACCACUAACUUCAGACUGGUCGGUCCAGUCAGGAGGGUCUGCACUGAAGACUUCCAAUGGAGUGAUUCCUCACCUAGAUGCGAAGAAAUCCGCUGCUCGGACCCCUUAGUACCAGAGAACAGUAUUGUAUCAGUGUCGAACAACGACCGCAACCACGGUCGCACGCUCAUCAGGACCGCAGCUACCACCAGCGUUGGCAACAGUUACAGAAUAGGAGCGCACGUCAAGUACCGCUGUGAGAGAGGAUACAAGGUGGUCGGCGAGAGUCUGUCGACCUGCGAGGAUAAUGGUCAAUGGAGUGGUGUUACUCCGCGUUGUCAAUACGUGGACUGCGGCGACCCAGGUCUCAUUCAGAAUGGCAAGGUGACGCUCGCAACUAACGCGACUUACUAUGGUGCGGCUGCGUUAUACGAGUGCCAUGAACAUUGGCAGCUCGAUGGCGUGUCCAGGAGGCUGUGCCAGGAUAAUGGCACUUGGAGCUCUGAAGCACCAGUUUGUAAAGAAAUAACGUGCACAGACCCCUCGAUCCAGAUCAAGGGUAGCAUCGGUCUGUUGGUCGCAACAUCGACGUUGAGCAUCGGAGGAGAGGCUCACUACCGAUGUGAGCGAGGGUACGGCUUGCAAGGAAACCAGACGAGGACAUGCAAGCCGAAGGGACAGUGGAGUGGGGCUCCACCUGUUUGUAUACCCAUCGACUGCAAAACUCCCGGCACGAUCGAGAACGGUCGCAUCAUCAUCUCCAACAGCUCGACACUGUUCGGCAGUUCCAUCGAGUACCACUGCUUACCACAGUUCCAGCGCGUUGGGCCAUUCCUUCGCAAGUGCAUGGACGAUGGCAAGUGGUCCGGAGAAGAGCCCAGCUGUGUUAUCAUCACGAAUGAAGCAGCAGAGAACGGAACUCUGCCCCUCAGUGUCGGUGUUGGAUGCGGUGUGGUCCUGUUCUUACUGAUGCUGCUUGGAGUUAUUUAUUUGAGGCUACGAAAAGCCACGCCAGUAAAGAACACGGAGAAUAUAGAAGGUGCGGAGCGCAAGGAAGACCAAAACGCCGCGGUCAUGAGCUACGCAACGCUCCACGACACGAACGGCAGACAUAUCUAUGACCAUGUCUCCGACAACGUAUACGACUCUCCGUACAGUGAGAGGAUCGCCGACAAUGUCGCGUACGGCAGACGAAGCGACACAGACUCGGCCUAUGAGCCUGAACCCACGGGCCCGAGCGCCGUCGUCACCAUCAACGGAGUCGCCGUACGCUGACCGGCGACAGACACCUUGUGGCUCGAAAAACUUUUUAGGUAACCAAAUCCGACGCUUAAUUGGUGUUCCUCAGUGUAAAUGUUACCUGUAAAUUUCCCCUUUAAAGUGGUUACCAUUGACUCGAGUGUUCAAACGAUACUUUAGUUUUAGGGUUAGAUUAGAAUCCCAUUGCUAGUUGAUCACCAACCCUUACUAGGUAUUGUACCAAAGAUGUAAAUGUGUUGGAUUCGUGUGAUAAUUUAAGACUGCAAUUCUAAUAUAUAUAUAUAUAUAUAUAUAUAUAUAUUUUUAAACACGAUUUCAUUUUGGUUAAAAUAGUGAGGCUUUAUCAUUAAACUAAUUUUAACGAUAAACCCUCACCGUAUUCCUAUUCAGGUAUCUAUUCGCUGUGCUUUUCUAUUUUUACUUUUAUUUCAUAACGACUGCAAACGGGUGCAUUCACGAAAAUACACGUUGUACCUACUUAUUUUAUCAAUCUAUUUCAGAAAAAAUCUAGUCUGUCUACAACCAGAUUUCUUUGAACCGCUUUGAAUUGCAGUCUUAAAUAUUGUGUACUUUUUAUUUUUUAAACAAAAUCUUUACGAUACGAACAAAGAGUUUAAUUAUAUUUAGGUAUAAAUACAAAUAUAUAUUUAGUUAAAAAUGUAUUUAUUAUUAUUAUUUAACGAACGAUUAGAAUUUGAUGCCAAAAUAAUUCUGCUAAUAAUGAAAUGCUUUUGUACACGCGGUAAAUUAAGGAAUUUUAGUUUAUAUUCUUAUUGUUCCUUUUGAAUUAUAUAGACUCUUAAUGAAUUGGGAUAUUCUAGUAGAUUAUUUUUGUUUUCAGAAUUAUUACCUACUUAUGGUAUAAUCGUGGUGUUAGACGGUGAGGUACUAACUUUCACGUGCUUAUUCCGUGUUGCUUUACUUAUGUUUCACUUAUUGUUUUGUAAAUAGUACUUAGGUUAGUUUUAAUCUUAAGUAAUUCGUAGUUAUCAAUUGCCUGGCACGAUUGAAUUGAAUAAGUAUUUAAAUUAUAUUUCAUUACGCUUUGUAAACGAAUAGAUAGGUACUGAACUUUUUUAUUUCCACAAUUGUUAUUUUCCACGAGGUAUCACAAUAUUUGUAAUUAGGAUAACUGCUCAAUAUUAUGCUGUCUGGAAAGAUUUGGAUAAAACCCUGAUCUGAGCAUGCCUGUAUAAUUAUUAUAAUCUAUCAAACAUUUUAUUACUUUGACUAUCCCUAUAUUAUAAUGAUCUCGAUGAAAAUUAUGGCCAUUUCUACCGCUAACCACGAGUAAAACUGCCAUUUCCUAUAUAAAAUAUAUUUUCGAGUGGUACCUACGUCACAGACAGGAAUAUUAUAAAUAAACUAAUAAUUUUAUUAAGUGUUCAUCAGAAUAAACAGUAAUAUUUUUGUUAUAUUUCAUACUAUGUACAAUAAUUUCAACUUAAGACAGAUUCGUUAAAUAAAUGUUCUGAAUGUGGU